GCAUAUAUAAAAUUGACUCGAAAUCAGGUUGCCUGCAAGGGCACGUGGGUUCGAAUCCCACCGUCUCCG
rnacentral:tRNA from 1 species